GACGUAGGGUGCGAGCGUUGUCCGGGUUUAUUGGGCGUAAAGAGCUCGUAGGCGGCUCGUCGCGUCGACCGUGAAAACCCGCGGCUUAACUGCGGGCUUGCGGUUGAUACGGGCGGGCUAGAGUUCGGUAGGGGAGACUGGAAUUCCUGGUGUAGCGGUGAAAUGCGCAGAUAUCAGGAGGAACACCGGUGGCGAAGGCGGGUCUCUGGGCCGAUACUGACGCUGAGGAGCGAAAGCGUGGGGAGCGAACAGG
rnacentral:rRNA from 1 species